rnacentral:rRNA from 1 species
GGUUAAGCGACUAAGCGUACACGGUGGAUGCCUAGGCAAUCAGAGGCGAUGAAGGACGUGCUAAUCUGCGAAAAGCGUCGGUAAGGUGAUAUGAACCGUUAUAACCGACGAUGUCCGAAUGGGGAAACCCAGUGCAAUUCGUUGCACUAUCGUUUGAUGAAUCCAUAGUCAAACGAGGCGAACCGGGGGAACUGAAACAUCUCAGUACCCCGAGGAAAAGAAAUCAACCGAGAUUCCCCUAGUAGCGGCGAGCGAACGGGGAGCAGCCCAGAGUCUUAAUCAGCAUCAGCAUCAGGAGAACGGUCUGGAAAGGCCGGCAAUAAAGGGUGAUAGCCCCGUAUCCGAAGGUGUUGGUGUUGUGAACUCGAUGAGUAGGGCGGGACACGUGUUAUCCUGUCUGAAUAUGGGGGGACCAUCCUCCAAGGCUAAAUACUCCUGAUUGACCGAUAGUGAACCAGUACCGUGAGGGAAAGGCGAAAAGAACCCCGGCGAGGGGAGUGAAAUAGAACCUGAAACCGUGUACGUACAAGCAGUGGGAGCCUUGAUUUAUCAGGGUGACUGCGUACCUUUUGUAUAAUGGGUCAGCGACUUAUAUUCUGUAGCAAGGUUAACCGAAUAGGGGAGCCGUAGGGAAACCGAGUCUUAACUGGGCGAAUGAGUUGCAGGGUAUAGACCCGAAACCCGGUGAUCUAGCCAUGGGCAGGUUGAAGGUUGGGUAACACUAACUGGAGGACCGAACCGACUAAUGUUGAAAAAUUAGCGGAUGACUUGUGGCUGGGGGUGAAAGGCCAAUCAAACCGGGAGAUAGCUGGUUCUCCCCGAAAGCUAUUUAGGUAGCGCCUCGUGAACUCAUCUUCGGGGGUAGAGCACUGUUUCGGCUAGGGGGUCAUCCCGACUUACCAACCCGAUGCAAACUACGAAUACCGAAGAAUGUUAUCACGGGAGACACACGGCGGGUGCUAACGUUCGUCGUGAAGAGGGAAACAACCCAGACCGCCAGCUAAGGUCCCAAAGUCAUGGUUAAGUGGGAAACGAAGUGGGAAGGCUCAGACAGCCAGGAUGUUGGCUUAGAAGCAGCCAUCAUUUAAAGAAAGCGUAAUAGCUCACUGGUCGAGUCGGCCUGCGCGGAAGAUGUAACGGGGCUAAACCAUGCACCGAAGCUGCGGCAGCGACAUGUAAAUGUUGUUGGGUAGGGGAGCGUUCUGUAAGCCUGUGAAGGUGUGCUGCGAGGCAUGCUGGAGGUAUCAGAAGUGCGAAUGCUGACAUAAGUAACGAUAAUGCGGGUGAAAAACCCGCACGCCGGAAGACCAAGGGUUCCUGUCCAACGUUAAUCGGGGCAGGGUGAGUCGACCCCUAAGGCGAGGCAGAAAUGCGUAGUCGAUGGGAAACAGGUUAAUAUUCCUGUACUGGUGAUAAUUGCGAUGGGGGGACGGAGAAGGCUAGGCUGGCCGGGCGACGGUUGUCCCGGUUUAAGGAUGUAGGUGGGUGAAUUAGGCAAAUCCGGUUCGCUAUACACUGAGGUCUGAUGACGAGUCACUACGGUGGCGAAGUAGCUCAUGCCCCGCUUCCAGGAAAAGCCUCUAAGCUCUAGAUUAUCAUUAAUCGUACCCCAAACCGACACAGGUGGUCAGGUAGAGAAUACUCAGGCGCUUGAGAGAACUCGGGUGAAGGAACUAGGCAAAAUGGUGCCGUAACUUCGGGAGAAGGCACGCUGGCACUAGGUGAAGUGGUUUACCCAUGGAGCUGAAGCCAGUCGCAGAUACCAGCUGGCUGCAACUGUUUAUUAAAAACACAGCACUGUGCAAACACGAAAGUGGACGUAUACGGUGUGACGCCUGCCCGGUGCUGGAAGGUUAAUUGAUGGGGUUAUCCGUAAGGAGAAGCUCUUGAUCGAAGCCCCAGUAAACGGCGGCCGUAACUAUAACGGUCCUAAGGUAGCGAAAUUCCUUGUCGGGUAAGUUCCGACCUGCACGAAUGGCGUAAUGAUGGCCAGGCUGUCUCCACCCGAGACUCAGUGAAAUUGAACUCGCUGUGAAGAUGCAGUGUACCCGCGGCAAGACGGAAAGACCCCGUGAACCUUUACUAUAGCUUGACACUGAACAUUGAGCCUUGAUGUGUAGGAUAGGUGGGAGGCUUUGAAGUGUGGACGCCAGUCUGCAUGGAGCCAACCUUGAAAUACCACCCUUUAAUGUUUGAUGUUCUAACGUAGCCCCAUAAUCUGGGGUGCGGACAGUGUCUGGUGGGUAGUUUGACUGGGGCGGUCUCCUCCCAAAGCGUAACGGAGGAGCACGAAGGUUGGCUAAGCAUGGUCGGACAUCAUGCGGUUAGUGCAAAGGCAUAAGCCAGCUUGACUGCGAGAGUGACGGCUCGAGCAGGUACGAAAGUAGGUCUUAGUGAUCCGGUGGUUCUGAAUGGAAGGGCCAUCGCUCAACGGAUAAAAGGUACUCCGGGGAUAACAGGCUGAUACCGCCCAAGAGUUCAUAUCGACGGCGGUGUUUGGCACCUCGAUGUCGGCUCAUCACAUCCUGGGGCUGAAGUAGGUCCCAAGGGUAUGGCUGUUCGCCAUUUAAAGUGGUACGCGAGCUGGGUUUAGAACGUCGUGAGACAGUUCGGUCCCUAUCUGCCGUGGGCGUUGGAAGAUUGAAAGGGGCUGCUCCUAGUACGAGAGGACCGGAGUGGACGCACCGCUGGUGUUCGGGUUGUCAUGCCAAUGGCACUGCCCGGUAGCUAAGUGCGGAAGAGAUAACCGCUGAAAGCAUCUAAGCGGGAAACUUGCCUUGAGAUGAGUCUUCCCUGACUCUUUAAGGGUCCUAAAGGAACGUUUAAGACGAAGACGUUGAUAGGCUGGGUGUGUAAGCGUAGCGAUACGUUGAGCUAACCAGUACUAAUGAACCGUGAGGCUUAACCUG